UACAGAGGUCUCAAGCGUUGUUCGGAUUCAUUGGGCGUAAAGGGUGUGUAGGUGGCGCGCUAAGUCGGGUGUGAAAUUUCGGAGCUUAACUCCGAAACUGCAUUCGAUACUGGCGUGCUUGAGGACUGGAGAGGAGACUGGAAUUCAUGGUGUAGCAGUGAAAUGCGUAGAGAUCAUAAGGAAGACCAGUGGUGAAGGCGGGUCUCUGGACAGUUCCUGACACUGAGACACGAAGGCCAGGGGAGCAAACGGG
rnacentral:rRNA from 1 species